AAUAUUGCGCAGUGGAGGGAACUCUGACGCAGCGACGCCGCGUGAGCGAUGAAGGUCUUCGGAUCGUAAAGCUCUGUCCUUGGGGAAGAAGGUCUUCGGACUUGACGGUACCUACGGAGGAAGCCCCGGCUAACUACGUGCCACCAGCCGCGGUAAUUCGUAGGGGGCAAGCGUUUUCCGGAAUUAUUGGGCGUAAAGGGUGCGUAGGCGGCCUUUUAAGUCAGAUGUGAAAGCCCACGGCUUAACCGUGGGACUGCAUUUGAAACUGGAGGGCUUGAGUAUCGGAGAGGGUAGUGGAAUUCCCAGUGUAGCGGUGGAAUGCGUAGAUAUUGGGAGGAACACCAGUGGCGAAGGCGACUACCUGGACUGCAACUGACGCUGAGGCACGAAAGCGUGGGGAGCGAAC
rnacentral:rRNA from 1 species